rnacentral:rRNA from 1 species
AGAACGCCCGGGCUUCGGCCUGGUUAUUCAUAACCCUUUGUUGUCCGACUCUGUUGCCUCCGGGGCGACCCUGCCUUCGGGCGGGGGCUCCGGGUGGACACUUCAAACUCUUGCGUAACUUUGCAGUCUGAGUAAACUUAAUUAAUAAAUUAAAACUUUUAACAACGGAUCUCUUGGUUCUGGCAUCGAUGAAGAACGCAGCGAAAUGCGAUAAGUAAUGUGAAUUGCAGAAUUCAGUGAAUCAUCGAAUCUUUGAACGCACAUUGCGCCCCCUGGUAUUCCGGGGGGCAUGCCUGUUCGAGCGUCAUUUCACCACUCAAGCCUCGCUUGGUAUUGGGCAACGCGGUCCGCCGCGUGCCUCAAAUCGUCCGGCUGGGUCUUCUGUCCCCUAAGCGUUGUGGAAACUAUUCGCUAAAGGGUGUUCGGGAGGCUACGCCGUAAAACAACCCCAUUUCUAAGGUUGACCUCGGAUCAGGUAGGGAUACCCGCUGAACUUAAGCAUAUCAAUAAGCGGAGGAAAAGAAACCAACAGGGAUUGCUCUAGUAACGGCGAGUGAAGCAGCAAUAGCUCAAAUUUGAAAUCUGGCGUCUUCGACGUCCGAGUUGUAAUUUGUAGAGGAUGCUUCUGAGUGGCCACCGACCUAAGUUCCUUGGAACAGGACGUCAUAGAGGGUGAGAAUCCCGUAUGCGGUCGGAAAGGCGCUCUAUACGUAGCUCCUUCGACGAGUCGAGUUGUUUGGGAAUGCAGCUCUAAAUGGGAGGUAAAUUUCUUCUAAAGCUAAAUAUUGGCCAGAGACCGAUAGCGCACAAGUAGAGUGAUCGAAAGAUGAAAAGCACUUUGGAAAGAGAGUUAAAAAGCACGUGAAAUUGUUAAAAGGGAAGGGAUUGCAACCAGACUUGCUCGCGGUGUUCCGCCGGUCUUCUGACCGGUCUACUCGCCGCGUUGCAGGCCAGCAUCGUCUGGUGCCGCUGGAUAAGACUUGAGGAAUGUAGCUCCCUCGGGAGUGUUAUAGCCUCUUGUGAUGCAGCGAGCGCCGGGCGAGGUCCGCGC